CCCGCGCAUGCCCUUCCUCUGGAGGCCGGGCUCUGGGCCGGCUUCGAGGUGGGGCCGGGCGGCGCUGACGUCACCCUGCGCCUCCGGGCGCCUGCGGAGUCUCCGCCUGGAUCUUGGGGCCAUGUUUUCCUGAGAUGGAGAACCAGGGGCAGAGAAGUUGGCACAGUCAGAAUUCUACACAUGCAGUCUGCUGCAGAGUCCAAGCCCUUAACCAUCCAACUCCAGCUUCCCAAAAUGUUAUCAUCUGCUCAUAAGUUGCUUCUCUGUGUAUGCACUGCCAAGUCCCACCUCAACCAUCAUCAGAUGCCAGAUCAGUGAGACCACCUGGCCCUGGGCUAUGAACCUCU